rnacentral:rRNA from 1 species
GCAGCCAUGCCGCGUGCGGGAAGAAGGCCUUCGGGUUGUAAACCGCUUUUGUCAGGGAAGAAACGAGUUUCUCUAAUACAGAGACUUAAUGACGGUACCUGAAGAAUAAGCACCGGCUAACUACGUGCCAGCAGC